UCUGAUGCAGCUCUGUGUCCGCAGGUGCCUUCGACCAGCACGGCUGUCCUCUGGUGGUGUUUCCAGCGGAGGCUCAGGGUAAACUCCCAGAGGAGCUCCGCAGAGAGGAGGUGUCCCACUUCAUACACUACUGUCUGCGCCUGCACAACAUAAGAGGCGAGGAGAGGCUGCUGUCUGUGGUUGUUGAUUUGAGGCAAGCCAACCUCGCCAUCGCACGCUUCAUUGCUGAAACUCUCCUGUUGUUGGAGGUUUCCAGAAGGAUCAUCCACUCGGUGUAUAUUGUUCAACCAAAGAAGAAAGAUGUCCUGAAGCAGCUGGGGAAACUCCUGACACCGAGUGGCUCCAAGCAGCACAGACCCGUCCUCUUCAAACGUGUCUUCCUCAAAGAGAUUUUUGAGCUUUCCAACUACAUCGACAGAAGCCAGUUACCGUCUAGUUUGGGUGGAUACCUCAUAUACUGCCAUAAGAGCUGGGUUGCCUUCGUUAAGGAGAUCGAUGCGUUUGUGCAGGAGUUCCUGUCGGUGGUGAACCGUCUGCCGUCCUGUAUCUGGACUCUGCAGGCGCUCGCCAAGCGUCCCGUCCCAGCAGACCUGGAGCGGCUGCAGGAGUUCUGCUGUGUGAACCAGGCACGCUUCCAGCAGCUUCGGAGGUACGGCUCUGACUGUUUGAGCUGGACCUCACAAAACUCCAGCACAUACGUUCACUAAUCUCACAGGGAUUUACAGGAGCUACUGCACACAAAGCCGAUUUAGCUCUCAAACCCAAUGUUUAGGGCUGUCUGUGCACCCGGUCAUAUUGUAGCUUGGGGUGGACGAAGUGCACAAAUCACGUGCUUGAGUAAAAGUACAGAUACCACAAAUAAAGUAAUACUCCAGUAAAAGCAAUGAGUACUCCUGCACAUUUACUCAAGUAAAACUGAAAAGAAGUAUUUAUUUAUUGUACUUAAGUAUUAAAGUUCCAGUUGAUUGUUUUUGUAAUUUUUACUGAUACUUUCUAUUUAAUUUUCUAUUAUAUAUUUUAUGUAAUUCUACUGCUAAUACCUGGGGGAGGGGGCAUGUCAUAC
rnacentral:lncRNA from 1 species